GACGAACGCUGGCGGCGUGCUUAACACAUGCAAGUCGAACGGAAAGGCCCUGCUUUUGUGGGGUGCUCGAGUGGCGAACGGGUGAGUAACACGUGAGUAACCUGCCCUUGACUUUGGGAUAACUUCAGGAAACUGGGGCUAAUACCGGAUAGGAGCUCCUGCUGCAUGGUGGGGGUUGGAAAGUUUCGGCGGUUGGGGAUGGACUCGCGGGUUAUCAGCUUGUUGGUGGGGUAGUGGCUUACCAAGGCUUUGACGGGUAGCCGGCCUGAGAGGGUGACCGGCCACAUUGGGACUGAGAUACGGCCCAGACUCCUACGGGAGGCAGCAGUGGGGAGUAUUGCACAAUGGGCGGAAGCCUGAUGCAGCAACGCCGCGUGCGGGAUGACGGCCUUCGGGUUGUAAACCGCUUUCGCCGGUGACGAAGCGUGAGUGACGGUAAUGGGUAAAGAAGCACCGGCUAACUACGUG
rnacentral:rRNA from 1 species